GGAUAACCUACCCUUAGGACUGGGAUAACCCUGGGAAACUGGGGCUAAUACCGGAUAGGCAAUUUUUCCUGGAAUGGUUUCUUGUUUAAAUGUUUUUUCGCCUAAGGAUGGGUCUGCGGCCGAUUAGGUAGUUGGUUAGGUAAUGGCUUACCAAGCCGUUGAUCGGUACGGGUUGUGAGAGCAAGAGCCCGGAGAUGGAACCUGAGACAAGGUUCCAGGCCCUACGGGGUGCAGCAGGCGCGAAACCUCCGCAAUGUGAGAAAUCGCGACGGGGGGAUCCCAAGUGCCAUUCUUAACGGGAUGGCUUUUCAUUAGUGUAAAGAGCUUUUGGAAUAAGAGCUGGGCAAGACCGGUGCCAGCCGCCGCGGUAACACCGGCAGCUCUAGUGGUAACAAUUUUUAUUGGGCCUAAAGCGUCCGUAGCCGGUUUAAUAAGUCUCUGGUGAAAUCCUGUAGCUUAACUGUGGGAAUUGCUGGAGAUACUAUUAGACUUGAGACCGGGAGAGGUUAGAGGUACUCCCAGGGUAGAGGUGAAAUUCUGUAAUCCUGGGAGGACCGCCUGUUGCGAAGGCGUCUAACUGGAACGGUUCUGACGGUGAGGGACGAAAGUUAGGGGCGCGAACCGGAUUAGAUACCCGGGUAGUCCUAACUGUAAACGAUGCGGACUUGGUGUUGGGGUGGCUUUGAGCUGCUCCAGUGC
rnacentral:rRNA from 1 species